GCCUCCAUGGUCCAGUGGUCGGGCGUUGGGCUUAUGACCCGGAGGUCCCGGGUUCGAAUUCCGGUGGGGAUA
rnacentral:tRNA from 1 species